GGCUGGUGUGAGUGAAGUGGUGUUCACAACUAAUUGAUCACAACCAGUUAUAGAUUUACUUGUCCUUUUCCACUCCCACUGCUUCACUUCACUAGCCUUAC
ensembl:misc_RNA Y_RNA Y RNA